UACAUAGGGAGCAAGCGUUAUCCGGAUUUAUUGGGUGUAAAGGGUGCGUAGACGGGAAAUUAAGUUAGUUGUGAAAUCCCUCGGCUUAACUGAGGAACUGCAACUAAAACUGAUUUUCUUGAGUACUGGAGAGGAAAGUGGAAUUCCUAGUGUAGCGGUGAAAUGCGUAGAUAUUAGGAGGAACACCAGUGGCGAAGGCGGCUUACUGGACGAUGACUGACGCUGAGGCUCGAAAGCGUGGGGAGCAAACAGG
rnacentral:rRNA from 1 species